AGCAAAUAUUAAAUUUUCUUCCAAAAUUGACGUUUAAACAGGUUUAAACUUUCUUGUUUGUGUCUUUAAAUCGAGUAAGCAUGAUCCAGAUACGAAAACUCUUGAAAGCUGCUAACAGUAAUUUGCAUUAAAAAAACAUUGGGAUUAGCCUGAAUCCUGUCGUAAUUCACCGGAAACAUCAACCGGAAGACUAAUUAACGGAUCAUGGAACCAUGAAGCAAAAUUAAAAGAAAAAAAAGCGUCUAAAAUAGCGAUCCGGAAUUAUUUAGCUCAUUUAAUCUCCGCCACAUCAAAAAUUGCCUGGCAGAAAAUCGGAACGGAUCGGAACUUCUCACUCAGAAUCCAGUCGACAAAACAAUUCUAAUAUGUGCCUGGCCACGUCGCUCAUUCCAAUAAACUGGAUGACUAUUUUGUCGGACCUAGUUAAAAAAACUAAACUUGGCUAUCUUUUGUCGACAGUUGCGAACAAAUCUCGUAGAUCUAGCUGGACUAGCUCAAACCAAGCAGCCUUUUAGACAGCUCGGUCGCAUCAAUCGAUUCAUUCAAGGCGAAGAGUUUAAAAUCCACCGUCAAAUCAAUGCGCCAGGAGGCGGCGUAAGCAAUAGUAACUGCAACCUGCAACGAUGGCGAUGGAAUGGGAGCGAUCCACUCGGAAGUACUUAAUAAUUCGAGCAUUACGAGUGGCAGUUCGAUCGGAGUUCUACAACCGGCUACGCCAGAUGGUGUAUCAAUAUUACGAACGAACGAUGCAAGUUACCAGUGCGUGGGGACAUUUGCUAGGGUAACAAUGAUACAUGUGAAUGUAAAAAAUGUAGCAAGGGACAAAGCAAGAAGGCAGAUACGGCCACCUGCAAACAAUGUAGCCGAUUUUUAGAUAUGUCGGCAACGACACCCCGGCGCUGCAUGCAUGGAAAUGCACAACUAAGAUCAGCGUCCAGCAGUACACAAUUUCCGAGUUGCUUCUGUAUUUCCUGUCCGUCGGUGGCAUGUCAGAAAAAAAAUAUCCGUUCUAGAAACCUGUGCAAGCAGAUGCUAAUGCACUUCAACAAAAUGCCCCACCGUGGUGACUAAUUUGGCAAAUGCUUUUUAUGCUUCGGCAGUCAAUUGGCAUCAACAAAAAAAU